ensembl:snRNA U6 U6 spliceosomal RNA
GGGCUCGCUUCAGUAGCACACAUGGUAAAACUGGAACAAUACAGAGAAGACUCACAUGGCCACCAUGUAAGAAAAACGUGAGUUCAUGAAGCGUUCUGUAUUUUC